UCUUUCCAUGAUGAUAACUUUGUCCAGUUCUGCUACUGAAUGAAAGUGGUGAUAACAAAGACUCUGAUAAGA
ensembl:snoRNA